rnacentral:rRNA from 1 species
GACGAACGCUGGCGGCGUGCCUAAUACAUGCAAGUAGAACGCACAGUUUAUACCGUAGCUUGCUACACCAUAGACUGUGAGUUGCGAACGGGUGAGUAACGCGUAGGUAACCUGCCUGGUAGCGGGGGAUAACUAUUGGAAACGAUAGCUAAUACCGCAUAAUAUUAAUUAUUGCAUGAUAAUUAAUUGAAAGGUGCAAUUGCACACCAACAGAUGGAACUGCGUUGUAUUUGGUAAUAGGUGAGGUAACGGCCCACCUAGGCGACGAUACAUAGCCGGCCUGAGAGGGUGAUCGGCCACACUGGGACUGAGACACGGCCCAGACUCCUACGGGAGGCAGCAGUAGGGAAUCUUCGGCAAUGGACGAAAGGCUGACCGAGCAACGCCGCGGGAGGGAAGAAGGGUUUCGGAUCGGAAAGCUCUGUUGUAAGAGAAGAACGGGUGUGAGAGUGGAAAGUUCACACUGUGACGGUAUCUUACCAGAAAGGGACGGCUAACUACGUG